GGGAGCCUAGCUCAGUUGGUUCAGAGCAUCUCGUUUACACCGAGAGGGUCGGGGGUUCGAGCCCCUCGGCUCCCA
rnacentral:tRNA from 1 species